rnacentral:misc_RNA from 1 species
GAUGAAGAACGUAGCGAAAUGCGAUAAGUAAUGUGAAUUGCAGAAUUCAGUGAAUCAUCGAAUCUUUGAACGCACAUUGCGCCCUUUGGCAUUCCGAAGGGCACACCUGUCCGAGCGCCGUCGCACAACUGAGGCGCAGCCUUGCGUUGGCGGGCGACUUGUGAGUAGCGAGUCGUCGCCCAAACGAGACGGCGCCGCGCCGCGGCCGACGAAGCACGAAAGCGGAAGUCGACGCGGAGGCGGUUGCCUGUAGGAAGACACAGCUUGGCCUCGGAUCAGGUGGGGAUACCCGCUGAACUUAAGCAUAUCAAUAAGCGGAGGA